UCCUUAGGAUUUUGGACUGCUU
rnacentral:siRNA from 1 species